rnacentral:rRNA from 1 species
UAGGGAAUCUUCCACAAUAGACGAAAGUCUGAUGGAGCAACGCCGCGUGAGUGAAGAAGGGUUUCGGCUCGUAAAACUCUGUUGUUAAAGAAGAACAUAUCUGAGAGUAACUGUUCAGGUAUUGACGGUAUUUAACCAGAAAGCCACGGCUAACUACGUGCCAG